rnacentral:snoRNA from 1 species
UCUUAUGAUGAAAAGAGGGUCGAAUGAUACAUGAUUAUCGCUGGAAAAACUGAGU